UCCUCCGUGGCGCAAUUGGCUAGCGCGUCUGACUGUUACAGCAGUGGCUUAUCAGGAGGUUGAAAGUUCGAGCCUUUCCGGGGGAG